CAGAUUAAUCCUAAUAGUUGGGAAUUUCAUUUACAUUGAAUAAUUUUGCUGUGCAAUUCGGUAUUUUCUGA
rnacentral:tRNA from 1 species